UUUGAAUUUUGAACUUCUUCAGUCUCUCAUCAAAAUUUCUGACCGUUUUUCCCCCCCAAAACUAGCCGUUUUCUUCAUCAUCUAAAACAGAGCCGAGGGUUUUUAGAUAGCUAAUAAAGCAUCUCAGGUUUGGGGAUUUUUGAUUGACAAAACGUUUUCUUCUUCGGCUGUGCAUCAAUCUUCUUUGUUCGUCGGAGUCCAGCGACCAUUUCAGUGGUGGAAUCUUCAUUGCUGUUCGAAA
rnacentral:misc_RNA from 1 species